CCUACGGGUGGCAGCAGUGGGGAAUAUUGGACAAUGGGCGAAAGCCUGAUCCAGCCAUGCCGCGUGUGUGAAGAAGGCCUUCGGGUUGUAAAGCACUUUCAGUGGGGAAGAAAGCCUUGGGGCUAAUACCCUCGAGGAAGGACAUCACCCACAGAAGAAGCACCGGCUAACUCCGUGCCAGCAGCCGCGGUAAUACGGAGGGUGCGAGCGUUAAUCGGAAUUACUGGGCGUAAAGCGCGCGUGGGCGGUCUGAUAAGCCGGUUGUGAAAGCCCCGGGCUCAACCUGGGAACGGCAUCCGGAGGUGCCAGGUGAGGGGGCAGAGGAGGAAGGUAGAAGUCCCGGUGUAGCGGUGAACGGCGGAGGAGUCGGGAGAAAUACCAGGGGGAAGGGCGGCCUUCUGAACUUACCCGGCCGCUGGGGUGCGAAGGGGGGGGUAGAAAACAGGAUUGGACCCCCUGUUAUUC
rnacentral:rRNA from 1 species